rnacentral:rRNA from 1 species
UACGUAGGGACCAAGCGUUGUCCGGAAUUACUGGGCGUAAAGAGCUCGUAGGUGGUUUGUCGCGUUGUUCGUGAAAACUCACAGCUCAACUGUGGGCGUGCGGGCGAUACGGGCAGACUGGAGUACUGCAGGGGAGACUGGAAUUCCUGGUGUAGCGGUGGAAUGCGCAGAUAUCAGGAGGAACACCGGUGGCGAAGGCGGGUCUCUGGGCAGUAACUGACGCUGAGGAGCGAAAGCGUGGGGAGCGAACAGG